GUAGAUCAGAAUGCUACGGUGAAUACGUUCCCGGGCCUUGUACACACCGCCCGUCACACCAUGGGAGUGGGUUGCAAAAGAAGUAGGUAGCUUAACCUUCGGGAGGGCGCUUACCACUUUGUGAUUCAUGACUGGGGUGAAGUCGUAACAAGGUAACCGUAGGGGAACCUGCGGUCUGCGGCCUCCUUA
rnacentral:rRNA from 1 species